AGGCAGAGGCCGGGGUUGCAGGACGACUUCCAGAGCCCUCCGUCCGCGUCUACCCCGAAGGGUCCGCGGCACCGACGGGCACACAGGCACCUCCCCACGGCCCGGAGCGCCAGGUCACCGCCCAGGUGGCCUCUGUAAGGCCGGACGAGGUGCCUGGUGCCUGGGAGAGGCCGGCCCCAUCCGGAUGCGAUGUCUCCUGACCGGGGGCUCCCGGGUAACCCCCGGGGUGGCUGGCUGUGCCCUGCGGGGCAUGGGUGCGAGCGGGGCCCCUCCUCUGACCCCAGCCGUGUGCAGCCAGGCUGGGGUGCUGGUGGGAGGAGGGUCCAGAGGCCAAGACCACCCUGUGCCCGUAGUCACCCCCAGGCCGGUGGCCGGCCCCUGGCUAUUCCUCACCUGGAAAAGUCGGGGACGACCCAGAUGCCGUCUGGAAAGAGGAUGUUAAAUGGGAGGUGAAUUUGGAAAGCUCGAUGUUCUAAUUCUGUGAACGAGAGGCCACGGCUCUCAAGCUCUUGAUGAGGCAUAACGAGCGUGUGUGGAUGUGACACCAGCCGCGACGCCGCGAGGAGCCUCCAGGGCCCCCGACUCUGCGGGGCUCAUCCGCGUCUGGGGUGCUGGCGGCUGCUCCCCGCCUCGGGCGCUCAGCCUGGGCCCCGUUGCCUGCGGCCUUCCUGCCGGGGGCGGCCCAGUGGUGCCUCCGCUGUCCCUGAACCGGCUCCCGGAGAGGAUCGCAGGCGCCCCCGGACUCUGGGUCGGAGCCCCGGGCCCCGGCGAGCUCCUCCCUCCCCCACAAGCGCUCGGGUCAGCGGCCUCUCCAGAAGGGCCUCCCGCCGGGUCCCGAGCCUCCGCACCUGGACGUCCCGCCUCGGGAGGCGUCCUGGCGGGGGGCAGAUGCCGCCCAGGCAGGAACCGGCCCGGGCCUGGACACGGGGAGGGGGAGGCCUGCUUCCAGGACAAUGGCUCCUCGGGCGGUGGCCGGGCCGUCCUCCACUCGUCCUCCUCACUUGGGGUCCUGCCCCUCCUCCCACGGGGCCUUGUCAGAGCCCGAGCCCCCAGGCCAAACCCGCACAAGCCUGCUUGGGGGUGACUUGAAUUCCCUCAGAGACCACGUUCCUGCCGGCUGCCUCUCCCAGCUCCACGCCCGCUGCCCCCUUCCCGGCUCCCCCGCACGACGCCCACGCUCCCCCCUCGGGCCUCCAUGGCGCCUGCAUCCUCUCCCCUCUCCUGCGGUGACCCGACUGCCCCGGACACUCAGAGGCAAAGGCCACACUGGUCACGAGACAGAGAGAGGGACAGAGGGACAGGGAGACGGGGCGACAGAGGCCUGGGGUGGGUAGCGGGCGGGAAGGCUGCCCUGGACCUGCUGACCCGGGGGAAGAGCCUGGAGCCCGAGACGCCCGGGAGCAGCUGGAAGGCCGGUCGGAGAAGCCGCCCUCGUGCUGACCGCCCGCCCCUGGGCGGCUGCCCGGGGUCACAGCGGCCUCGUGGACCCUGGGGGCCUGGGCUCAGUCUCCUCUGACCCCCAUCACCCCCAUCCUGCACCCCCACAGUUAAACAGGGCAGAGCAGUGGGGUGCGGUCGUGGGUCGCGUCCCUGUGCUGAGUCCCCGCCGUGUUGCCCUGUGACCCAGGUCGCUGACCUGGGAACGACCCGGAGACAUGAGCGCUUCACCUGCAGGUCGGGCAGGCGCUGGUCACCCCGACCUGGGGCGGAGUCAGGCCCGCGGUGCUGCUGUGGGCACAUGUGUCAUGGGGUCAUGUGUGAUGAUUGGGGCGUGGGUGCCCCCCCAUGCCGCCGGACAGUCCGUGAGCAGAACCAAGGUGAUCCCAGACGGGGCCGUGGGCACGUGUGUGCAGGUCGCACCCUGGACCUAGAGGGUCCCAGUGGCUGCUCCCCCCAUGUCAGGGCUGCUCCCCCCCAUACCCUUCCGUCAGGGCUGGUCCCUCCACCCCUGCGCCCCCGCCCGUCCUUGUCACUCCAGCCCCCGCCCCUGUCCAGCCCCGGCGAGCCCCAGCCUGUGGGCAGCGGUGACCGUCUCUGCUGUGACCCGGAUCACGUGGGGUGGGGACCCCACUCCUGACGGCCGGCGAGGAGCCCGUGUGGACUCGGCCUACGUCUCCUCCUCAGGUCCCGGGAGGUCGGGGCCCGGUGUGACCCCCGGAAGGGCCCCGUGUGGCUUCCUGGGGAAGCUGGCCCAGUCGUCCUCCUGAGGCCUCUGCUGGACGCGGUUCUGAGAUGCUUCCUGGGGCGGGGCCCCCCCACCUCAAGGCGCCAUGCCCUGGAGGGCCCCGCAUGGAGGGCCGGCCUCCCCCCCGUGACCCUGGCGCCCGGCAGAGCUGAGCCCGCUGAACCCCGGAAGCAGAUUUUAUUUACUUACUCAUGAGAGACGCAGAGAGAGGCAGAGACCCAGGCGGAGGGAGAAGCCGGCUCCAUGCGGGGAGCCCGACGCGGGACUCGAACCUGGGGUCCUGGAUGGCGACCUGAGCCGAGGGCACACGUGUCACCCCCCCGAGGCCCCGGGCGCCCCAAAUCUCAGCAUCCGCGUCACAGUCUCUCUACAGUAUUUGUACACACACAGGACGAGGGAGCCCUGUGCCAACACACGAACUGUCUGGCUCUGGGCGACCGUGUCCUCGGGCGCCACGUCCGACCUGAUCCCCGAGCCGUGUCUCCCCGUGGCUCCUUCCCGCCUGCUCUCGGGCGCCGCACUCAUCCGUGAUCCGACUGCGUUGCUGCAAAUUCCAUUAGUCCUGGUGCUGAGCUGCAAUACGAAGACUUCAAGAAAUUAAUUUCAAGUUUAUUCCCUUGAUUUGUACUUGAUUUGCUAAAGCAGUUUUCAUUUGAAGAUGCUCUCUUCUCAUUAA